AAUGAACGCUGGCGGCGUGCUUAACACAUGCAAGUCGCACGAGAACUCUUCUGCUUGCAGAAGAUAGUAAAGUGGCGCACGGGUGAGUAACGCGUGGGUAAUCUACCUCCGAAUCGGGGAUAACCCGCCGAAAGGCGAGCUAAUACCGGAUAAUAUCUUUGAAACAUCGGUUUUUUAGAUCAAAGGUGGCCUCUACAUGUAAGCUACUGUUUGGAGAUGAGCCCGCGUACCAUUAGCUUGUUGGUAGGGUAAUGGCCUACCAAGGCUUCGAUGGUUAGCUGGUCUGAGAGGAUGAUCAGCCACACUGGAACUGACACACGGUCCAGACUCCUACGGGAGGCAGCAGUGAGGAAUUUUGCGCAAUGGGGGAAACCCUGACGCAGCAACGCCGCGUGAGUGAUGAAGGCCUUCGGGUCGUAAAGCUCUGU
rnacentral:rRNA from 1 species